UACAGAGGUCUCGAGCGUUGUUCGGAUUUACUGGGCGUAAAGGGAGCGUAGGCGGUUCGGUAUGUCGAAUGUGAAAGCCCACAACUCAACUGUGGAAAUGCAUUCGAAACUGCCGGGCUAGAGUACUGGAGAGGAGAGCGGAAUUCUUGGUGUAGCGGUGAAAUGCGUAGAUAUCAAGAGGAACACCGGUGGCGAAGGCGGCUCUCUGGACAGAUACUGACGCUGAGGCUCUAAAGUUAGGGGAGCAAACAGGAUUAGAUACCCUGGUAGUCCUAACCUUAAACGGUGUACACUUGGUGUGCGAGGAAUUGUCCCUUUGCGCGCCGCAGCUAACGCGAUAAGUGUACCGCCUGGGGAGUACGGUCGCAAGAUUAAA
rnacentral:rRNA from 1 species